rnacentral:rRNA from 1 species
ACUCCUACGGGAGGGCAGCAGUAGGGAAGUCUUCCACAAUGGGCGCAAGCCUGAUGGAGCAACACCGCGUGAGUGAAGAAGGGUUCGGCUCGUAAAGCUCUGUUGUUAAAGAAGAACACGUAUGAGAGUAACUGUUCAUACGUUGACGGUAUUUAACCAGAAAGUCACGGCUAACUACGUGCCAGCAGCCGCGGUAAUACGUAGGUGGCAAGCGUUAUCCGGAUUUAUUGGGCGUAAAGAGAGUGCAGGCGGUUUUCUAAGUCUGAUGUGAAAGCCUUCGGCUUAACCGGAGAAGUGCAUCGGAAACUGGAUAACUUGAGUGCAGAAGAGGGUAGUGGAACUCCAUGUGUAGCGGUGGAAUGCGUAGAUAUAUGGAAGAACACCAGUGGCGAAGGCGGCUACCUGGUCUGCAACUGACGCUGAGACUCGAAAGCAUGGGGUAGCGAACAGGAUUAGAUACCCUGGUAGGAUAGCG